rnacentral:rRNA from 1 species
GAUGAACGCUGGCGGCGUGCCUAAUACAUGCAAGUCGAGCGAAUGGAUUAAGAGCUUGCUCUUAUGAAGUUAGCGGCGGACGGGUGAGUAACACGUGGGUAACCUGCCCAUAAGACUGGGAUAACUCCGGGAAACCGGGGCCAAUACCGGAUAACAUUUUGAACCGCAUGGUUCGAAAUUGAAAGGCGGCUUCGGCUGUCACUUAUGGAUGGACCCGCGUCGCAUUAGCUAGUUGGUGAGGUAACGGCUCACCAAGGCAACGAUGCGUAGCGGACCUGAGAGGGUGAUCGGCCACACUGGGACUGAGACACGGCCCAGACUCCUACGGGAGGCAGCAGUAGGGAAUCUUCCGCAAUGGACGAAAGUCUGACGGAGCAACGCCGCGUGAGUGAUGAAGGCUUUCGGGUCGUAAAACUCUGUUGUUAGGGAAGAACAAGUGCUAGUUGAAUAAGCUGACACCUUGACGGUACCUAACCAGAAAGCCACGGCUAACUACGUGCCAGCAGCCGCCGCCG